UGGGGAAUAUUGCACAAUGGGGGAAACCCUGAUGCAGCGACGCCGCGUGAAGGAAGAAGUAUCUCGGUAUGUAAACUCUAUCAGCAGGGAAGAUAGUGACGUACCUGACUAAGAAGCCCCGGCUAACUACGU
rnacentral:rRNA from 1 species